CAAACUCCGAAUGCCGUCAUCUUAUACUUGGGAGUCAGACUGUGGGUGAUAAGAUUCAUAGUCGAAAGGGCAACAGCCCAGAUCGUCAGCUAAGGUCCCUAAAUGUAAGUUAAGUGGUAAAGGAUGUGGGAUUGCACAGACAACCAGGAUGUUGGCUUAGAAGCAGCCACUCAUUCAAAGAGUGCGUAAUAGCUCACUGGUCGAGUGAUCCUGCGCCGAAGAUUUCCGGGGCUAAAACUUACUACCGAAGCUACGGCAUCAGUAAUGAUGGGUAGGGGAGCUUCCCAUACGGGUUGAAGCAUGACCGUAAGGA
rnacentral:rRNA from 1 species